AAAAUUCGCGUGUCCGACGUCUUGUCCUGGUUCGUGUAGGGCGAAAUAUUAUUUAAACACUCUGUAUGGUUCAGGACGAUACGCCUGGCUCGCAUACACUGUGCACGAAUCA
rnacentral:pre_miRNA from 1 species